rnacentral:rRNA from 1 species
UGGGGAAUAUUGCGCAAUGGGCGAAAGCCUGACGCAGCGACGCCGCGUGGGGGAUGAAGGCCUUCGGGUUGUAAACCCCUUUCAGCAGGGACGAAGCGAAAGUGACGGUACCUGCAGAAGAAGCGCCGGCUAACUACGUGCCAGCAGCCGCGGUAAUACGUAGGGCGCAAGCGUUGUCCGGAAUUAUUGGGCGUAAAGAGCUCGUAGGCGGUCUGUUGCGUCCGCUGUGAAAACCCAGGGCUUAACCCUGGGCUUGCAGUGGAUACGGGCAGACUAGAGGUAGGUAGGGGAGAAUGGAAUUCCCGGUGUAGCGGUGAAAUGCGCAGAUAUCGGGAGGAACACCGGUGGCGAAGGCGGUUCUCUGGGCCUUACCUGACGCUGAGGAGCGAAAGCGUGGGGAGCGAACA